rnacentral:tRNA from 1 species
AAACAAAAAGUGCAUGCCAUGUGUACCCCCUG